rnacentral:rRNA from 1 species
CCUACGGGAGGCAGCAGUGGGGAAUAUUGGACAAUGGGCGCAAGCCUGAUCCAGCCAUACCGCGUGGGUGAAGAAGGCUUUUGGGUUGUAAAACCCUUUUGUUGGGAAAGAAAAGCAGCGGGCUAAUACCUUGCUGUUCUGACGGUACCCAAAGAAUAAGCACCGGCUAACUUCGUGCCAGCAGCCGC